AUAAUCGGCCACACCCUAACAUCUCCUACAUAGUUUUAUUGAUUUUUUCGCCUAUCUUGCUCGGCCCCCUAUCCCCUCUCUAAAAUUCGAAACCCUAAAAAAGGUUCUCUUCGAAAAUCUCCGUCUCGGAACAACCUGUCUUCACGCAGGAAAGUGAAAAGAUGAGUAGCCGUUCCAGCAGGACUCUUUACGUUGGAAAUCUUCCCGGUGAUGUUCGCGAGAGGGAAGUGGAAGAUUUGUUUUAUAAGUAUGGUCCCAUAGCUCAAAUUGACUUGAAGAUUCCACCAAGGCCUCCAGGUUAUGCAUUUGUUGAGUUUGAAGAAGCUCGAGAUGCUGAAGAUGCCAUUCGUGGUCGUGAUGGAUAUGACUUUGGAGGGCAUCGUUUACGGGUUGAACUUGCUCAUGGUGGUCGUGGGCGCUCUUCCAUAGAUCGUCACAGCAGUUAUAGUAGUGGGCGUGGACGUGGACCAUCCAGGCGUUCUGAAUAUCGCGUGCUAGUUACUGGAUUGCCAUCUUCUGCUUCAUGGCAGGACCUCAAGGAUCACAUGCGUCGAGCAGGAGAUGUUUGUUUUUCUCAAGUUUUCCGUGAUGGUAGUGGGACUACAGGGAUUGUGGACUACACCAACUAUGAUGAUAUGAAGUAUGCUAUUAAGAAACUCGAUGACUCUGAGUUUCGUAAUGCAUUUUCUCGGGCAUAUGUUCGGGUUAAGGAAUAUGAUUCUAGGCGGGAUUCCUCUAGAAGCCCUAGUCGUGGCCGAUCUCUCUCAAGAAGCCGAAGCCGAAGUAGAAGCCGAAGCAAAAGCCGUGGUCGGAGCUAUAGCCGAAGCAAGAGCCGCAGCAAGUCUCCAAAGGCAAAGCCUUCGCGCAAGUCACCUGAAAAGUCUAGAUCAAGGUCUCCUCGUUCCCGCUCUGCAUCAAGGUCUCGCUCUUUGUCAAGAUAUGGAUAUAUGCAGCAAACUGGGGAUUGGAUAUUGGGAUCUUGUGGGAAUAUGGUUCAAUUGCAUGCAAUCGUUUGGUUGCAGAGAUUGGGAACAAAGGAGACAAUGGACUGCAAUAAUAGAGCUGGAAUUCUUUACAAGGAAUUGCAAUAGUAGAGCUGGAUUUUAGUGAAGUAAAUGCUCUGGGAUUUGCAAGUCACCAUCAUUAUUUCCCUGUCAAUAUCAGCUCCAGAUUUUGCCAAGCUAAUAGGACAUGCUAUGUGGAUUACCUUGGAAUUGCAAUAAUAGGGGAGCAUGCUCAUUCUCUAUACCCUGGUGUUGAAAUGUGAAAAGCUAUUCUUUUAAGAAUUUCAUUUUGUUAGACUAGGUUUCUUUCCUUAGGCAGAUCUCCCUCAAGGUCCAGGUCUCCUUUGCCUUCUCGUCAAAAAGGAAGGAGCAAGAGUCCCAAAAGACGCAGUGUUAGCAGGAGUCCAAGUGGGAGCAGGAGCAGGAGCAGGAGCAGGAGCAAGAGUGUAUCCGGG